AACCUUGUUGCUAGGGACCGGGCGGUUUGCGGCAACCGUGGGCACUGCUGAAUUUGAAUUGAGGGGCGAGGGAAAAGUUUUCCUCAGGUGUGGUGGGGAGAGGGAGGCGGAUGCCGGGAAACCGUAGGGACGCGGUCAGAAAGGCGACGGGCUGUCGGAGUUGGAAAGACAGAGUUUUGCUCUUAUUGCCCAGGCUGGAGUGCAAUGGCACGAUCUCAGCUCACUGCAACGUCUGCCUCCCAGGUUCAAGCGAUUCUCCUGCCUCAGCCUCCCGAGUAGCUGGGAUUACAGGGCCUACUGCAGUGCAUGAAGGUGGUAUGGACUCAGAACUCUGAAGUCUGAGGAGACAAAUACAUGCCCACCAUAACAACAUCACACAAUACCUAGAGUCAAAACAGUUAUCCCUAUUCCUACCCCCAACUGAGUUAUUCAAUAAAGCCUGCCUUGUUGA
rnacentral:lncRNA from 10 species